GGGGAAGGCAGAGCUAUCAAAGCCCUUCUUCUUCCCAAUCAUGUCUUUCUCUAGGAGACCUACAGGAGAGGACUGGGCCUAAGAAGUCAGGGUUGCCACCCACAACUAAUGAUAAAAUUUCAAUUUGAAAUCAGUAAUUUAAUGGAAUGAGAUUUCUUUUCAUCCGGAUUGGGACGCAUUCAUUAAAUACGUACUCGGCGGCAGGCCUUCGGGUGAGGAGGUGAGGAGGACCUCCCUGCCCUGCAGGGGAAGAAGCUCAGUAAGGGAGGAGAGCAGGCAAGACCUCAGCCUCCAGGCAGACAGUACCACAGUAAGGUGGGCAGUGAACCUGCUGUAAGGGAGGAGGAGGAGGCUCACCGGAACUGGGCGGGGACAGAGAUGGGAGGGCUUGGAGAAGGCAGCAACAUGAAGAAACUCCACAUUCACAUGGAGGAGGAUGGUAGAAUGCAGUCUUCAGUCUGAGACCCAUCCCUAGGUUUCCGACAACUUGGAAGAUUGUGAUAUCAGAUUAGAGGAAAAACUUCUGGACUGAUGGGGAGCUGAAAUGUUCAUGAAUAUCAAGCAGAACAGGAAUUAACUGCACAGACUGAGGUAAAAGAAAACCGAAGCAAUCUUUUUGACUUUGCUUAAAAUGUUGCUGAUCCUUUUUUCAGGGUCAAGGAAACUUUUAUUGACAACUUUUAACAAUUAUACUCCUAUGAAAACAAAUUGAAGCAUAUUUGUUUCUACCUGAUUUCUCCAGAAUUUGGAAACUAUUUGUGAGCAUUCUUGACUGAUAGCAAUAUAGUUAUUUGCGUAAGUACAAUAAGAAUCUUUUCAUUUCUAAAUGAAAUAGGACACAAUUGGAGAAACUGGUUAUUUUAACAAGGCUUUGACUGGAAUGGUGUACUUUCCUGUAAGGAAUUAAACUUGACUUAUAGAGCCAAUAAAAUUGCCUUUGGGAAAUCUGGCCUCAUAUCUUGUCUGCAUAGUCCCUGUAGAGGGUUCGUGACCUGUGGUAAGUAAAGAAUGCCACAUUCUGAUAGGCCUAGUAGCCCCAAGUUAUCUUGGGACCUCAAGAAGAGAAGAAUUCAUCCAACUCGGAUUUGAUGGUACAAAUCCAUGGCUGGGAUUGGCUUUAAAAAGUCUUAUCUGAGAUUCCACGGAACAAAGUUCCAUCAAGCCAAUUUUAAAAGCCUAUAUAAAAAAUAAUUAUUCUUGGCCAGGUGCAGUGGCUUACACCUGUAAUCCCAGCACUUUGGGAGGCUGAGGUGGGUGGAUCACGAGGUCAGGAGUUAAAGACCAGCCUGGCCAACAUAGUGAAACCCUCUCUCUACUAAAAAUACAAAA
rnacentral:lncRNA from 1 species